GCUGGGGGUACCCCAGUCGGUAGAACAUGAGACUCUUAAUCUCAGGAUUAUGAGUUUGAACCCCACGUUGGGCA